CCAAUAGCGUAUAUUAAAGUUGUUGCAGUUAAAAAGCUCGUAGUUGAACUUCGGGGUUUACCCAUUGGUCAGGCUUAAUUGUCUGCACUGGUGAGAUGAAUCUCUACCUUCUGAGGAACUUUCAUGCCAUUUAUUUGGUGUGAUUGGAAAUCAGGACUAUUACUUUGAAAAAAUUAGAGUGUUUAAAGCAGGCUAACGUCUGAAUACAUUAGCAUGGAAUAAUGAAAUAGGACGGACUGAUUCUAUUUCGUUGGUUUCUAGGAUCACCGUAAUGAUUAAUAGGGAUAGUUGGGGGCAUUAGUAUUCAAUUGUCAGAGGUGAAAUUCUUGGAUUUAUUGAAGACUAACUACUGCGAAAGCAUUUGCCAAGGAUGUUUUCAUUAAUCAAGAACGAAAGUUAGGGGAUCGAAGACGAUCAGAUACCGUCGUAGUCUUAACCAUAAACUAUGCCGACUAGGGAUCGGACGAAGUUAAUUUUAUAAUGACGCGUUCGGCACCUUACG
rnacentral:rRNA from 1 species